GAUGAAGAACGCAGCGAAAUGCGAUAAGUAAUGUGAAUUGCAGAAUUCAGUGAAUCAUCGAAUCUUUGAACGCACAUUGCGCCCGCCAGUAUUCUGGCGGGCAUGCCUGUUCGAGCGUCAUUUCAACCCUCAAGCACUGCUUGGUGUUGGGGACCGGCUUGCCUUCAGCGCCUGCCGCCCCCGAAAUACAGUGGCGGUCUCGCCGCAGCCUCCUCUGCGUAGUAGUUUUCUCCUCGCAAGGGCAGCUCGACGACGACCACGCCGUAAAACCCCCAACUUCUGAAAGGUUGACCUCGAAUCAGGUAGGAAUACCCGCUGAACUUAAGCAUAUCAAUAAGCGGAGGA
rnacentral:misc_RNA from 1 species